CGAUUUCGAGUAAAACUAUCGAGCAAAAUCGUAUGUGAUACUUAGCAUUAAUUUGUGUUUGUAAACAGCGGACGAUUCUCUGGAAAAAAGAAACUUGAUUGACUUAAAUAGAUUUAAAUUCGUAGACAAUAACUACUUUUUUGCCAU